rfam:Salmo salar isolate Sally breed double haploid chromosome ssa09, whole genome shotgun sequence.
AAUGCACCAAUUUGGAGGUCGCUCUGGAUAAGAGCGUCUGCUAAAUGACGUAAA